AACACUGGGCUGCUUUUAAUUGUAAUAUCUCUUUCUUGGAUAGUAACAACUCAUGGAGAACCUGUUAUUGUUUAUGUUUUCCUAGUUUUCUGUUAUUAUUAAAAAAUAUUGGUCUUUUUUCUUCAAAGUUUGUUUCUCCUCCAGUUAUACCCUGAAUUGGAUGAUGCUAAAAUCAAGAAUUUCUGUCAUCAUGGCCAUUUCCCAUGAAAACUGCUUUAUCAUAAAUCCUGUGUUCAUUACAAGGAAAAGAAGUUGCAGCAGAUCCAACUGCCAAUUCUUGGGUUAGUUUGUAACUCUCUGAUCUUCCUAAUGUAAGGGACCGUUCAUACAUGCAAGAAUACCAUUGCUAUUGGAUUUGCUAUUUGGAAGCAGUUUCACCUACAGUUGGUUAAAGAAAGAACAAAAUAUGAAGUGAGGUCAGAGACAUCCUGGAAAACAUUUUGCUUGGUUAUUUUAUUAAGACAUCUCUCCUAUAACAGAUGGUGACCUCUGAAAGCAUUGGGACUUUACUGUAUGAAAGGGAGAGGAGACCUGACGAGAUGAACCAGCUCAGGUUCAACAGCAUACUGUGCAGAUUGC